GGGGGGGGGAAACUUCAGAAGCAUGUCAUGACUGCAUGACCAUUGAUAAAUCUAGGCCACAGUCCAUUUCCAGGCCCUCGUCCAGAUAACAGAACCAAUAUGGGAAAAUAUCUCAGUCCAGUCAGGAGCAGAGGAAAAAGCUUCCUUAAGGAUUCUUGGAGGCAGCGUAUUAAAAUAAAAUCUGAACUGGAAGCUUUUAAAUGUCACUACUUUUCUUUUUUUAUUUUUACCCUAAAAUCUAGAUGAAGAAAUGCAACAUUAAUGUAUGUUUUUGUAGCAUAAUUACUGCAGAAAAAUAUAGAGAAAAUAGAAAGUGAUAGUUAAUUAUCUUGAGACACAUUGAGGUUUUUCAUGGUUCCAAUUCAGGCAAAGAUUGUCUUUGAGACAAAUUAAAUGAGCAUACAUUUUUAUUAUAUAUAUUUCUUGCAGAAUGUAUACCUAUAUAGUCAUAUGAAUUAUAAGUCUUAACAUGUUUAAAAGUAGUGCCUGAUCCUAAUUGAUACAGAUAGAUACAAUAAUGUAUAAUUUUGCCCUUCAAUCUAAAGAAAGUGAUUUCCUUUGAUCCAGGUCAGGUUUACCAUGUCUGCAGCGAUACUGGCACACUCCAUCUUUUCCACCCAUGAACUCCAGCAUCGAGUCAAAGUAGCCGCUGACCGCCUCAAAGCUUCCUCGGAGUGAGUUAAUCCCCCAGUCCUCGCUCUGAUCCCCUGCCUGGGCGCCACCAUCAGAGGUUUGACCUGAUGGAGGUGGUGUGGAUUCAGGGUUUUCAGCAUCCUGAGCUGCUGCUCUGAGGAUCAGCAGGCCCACCAGGAGGGGAGCGAGAAGGACCCAGCGUGUCAUCCUGUGGCUCCGUCGGCUCAGUAUGAACAGGAUUCAGGUCCUAUGAAGGGAGACACUGAAACUGACUGCAUGACCUGAACUUUGAGCCAAACGUGGGCCGGCCUUGCAUGUGGAAGCACGAAGUCCAGCUCCUAUCUCACCUUUUCAACAUGUUCAGGCUUUUAUCAGUCCUGCUGAUGAUGAAUGUGUCUGUUGAGCUUUUUAAUUACAUUAAUUACAGUUCUGAUCAUUUCAGAUUUGAUGUUGCAGUUGCAUCAUAGUGGAGUCCUACAAAGAGGGACAAUUUAAUGACAUUAGUUUCUAACAUUCUGUCAAUGUUUUAGGGUAGAAAACUAAAAAAAUAAAAUUAAAAACUUUUCCAACCUGACAAAAAAAAGAAUAAAUCAGGUUAAGUUUUUUAAUGCAUAUUUUGACUUUUACUUAUAAAACACUUACUUAGAUUUUUUAAAAUAGAGAAAAAUAGAAUUGCAUUUAUUAAUUUAUCUAAUGAAAUUAGAGAUUUUCUCUCAAUUAAAGUUUUUUCUUUUUAAUCUGUAGAUCAGAAUUCUGCUAUAGCUGAUGAAUGUUUCAUCCUACCUUUUUUAGACCCUACAAAAUCCCCAAACCCCAACGAAACUUUCCAAUAAGGUGAUAUUUUAAUAUGACCAACAUGUUGUCAAGCUGGACCAUAUGGGAUCUAAUAAAGGUUCUGUGAAAAGAGACCUUAUAAUAAAAAAAGAAGAAAGAAACAAGGCUGAUCUCAGCAACAAAACAGGGAAAACCAAAAGCAAAGAA